GGGAAUGUGGCUUAGUGGUAGAGUGCUUGCCUAGCAUUCAUGAAGCCCUGGGUUAGAUUCCCCAGUACCA
rnacentral:tRNA from 1 species